rnacentral:rRNA from 1 species
UACAGAGGGUGCAAGCGUUAAUCGGAAUUACUGGGCGUAAAGCGUGCGCAGACGGUUGCGUAAGUCAGGAUGUGAAAGCCCCGGGCUCAACCUGGGAAUUGCAUUUGAGACUGCGUAGCUAGGGUGCGGAAGAGGGAAGCGGAAUUUCCGGUGUGAGCGGUGAAAUGCGUAGAUAUCAGGAGGAACACCGGUGGUGUAAACGGCUUUCUGGACCAUAACUGACGCUGAUGCACGAAAGCGUGGGUAGCAAACAGG